AAACCAACAGGGAUUGCCCCAGUAACGGCGAGUGAAGCGGCAACAGCUCAAAUUUGAAAUCUGGCUCCCUCGGGGGCCCGAGUUGUAAUUUGGAGAGGAUGCUUUGGGCGCGGCGCCUUCCGAGUUCCUUGGAACAGGACGCCAGAGAGGGUGAGAGCCCCGUACGGUUGGACGCCUAGCCCGUGUAAAGCUCCUUCGACGAGUCGAGUAGUUUGGGAAUGCUGCUCAAAAUGGGAGGUAAAUUUCUUCUAAAGCUAAAUACCGGCCAGAGACCGAUAGCGCACAAGUAGAGUGAUCGAAAGAUGAAAAGCACUUUGAAAAGAGGGUUAAACAGCACGUGAAAUUGUUGAAAGGGAAGCGCCUGUGGCCAGACGUGCCGCCCGCGGAUCACCUGGCGCCCCCGCGCCAGGGCACGCCGCGGGUGUGCAGGCCAGCAUCGGCUUUCCUAGGGGGAUAAAGGCCGCGGGAACGUAGCUCCUCCGGGAGUGUUACAGCCCGCGGCGCCAUACCUCUGGGGGGGCCGAGGACCGCGCCCUUCGGGGCAAGGAUGCUGGCGUAAUGGCCACCAGCGAC
rnacentral:rRNA from 1 species